UUUCCGUAGGUGAACCUGCGGAAGGAUCAUUAUUGAUUGGUCGAAAGACCUUAUCAGAUUCUACCACCUCUGUGAACCGUUGACCUCCGGGUUAAUAAUCAAACAUCAGUGUAACGAACGUAAGAGUAUCUUAAUUAAACAAAACUUUUAACAACGGAUCUCUUGGCUCUC
rnacentral:misc_RNA from 1 species